UACGUAGGGGGCGAGCGUUGUCCGGAUUUAUUGGGCGUAAAGGGCGUGUAGGCGGCUCUCUAAGUCGGAGGUGAAAACCUGCAGCUCAACUGCGGGACUGCCUCCGAUACUGAGGAGCUUGAGUGCUCUAGAGGGCAGUGGAAUUCCCGGUGUAGCAGUGAAAUGCGUAGAGAUCGGGAGGAACACCAGUGGCGAAGGCGACUGCCUGGGGAGUAACUGACGCUGAGGCGCGAAAGCUGGGGGAGCAAACGGG
rnacentral:rRNA from 1 species